UGGGCAUUUGGGUUGUUGUAAUCACAAUGUGGGUUCAGGUUUAGGGUCUCUCACAACAUUCCUUUUUGUCACAGAAGCAAUCCUUCUGUUACCUACUGUUUCACCCACCUCGCAUGCAGGAUGGGGAGCCAUCCCUGCAGACAUGGCUACCAAUACCUAUGAGGCCCUAAAAAUUGCCUUUGCCCGUGAGUUCAAUCUCUCCCACUGUUGGAUAUGUGCCCAGACUCCCCACCAUUCGGCUGGAUUGCCCUGGAGAGUAGUUCCCCAAAAUUGGUCAGACUUUUGUCAAAGGUGGAUGGUUACCAGCAGCAGCACCUCUGACAAUUUAAGUUGCGAUCCAACUGUACAGCAGAAGCUCCUUAUGGCCUACACAAUGGCUCCUGGGAUUCCCACUAUAGUAGCACUCUUAAGCCCCAGCCUAUUCGUCUAUGCCCUCCACCCACUGGUCUCAUAUGUUAUAAGCAAGCCAGUACAUGUAAUCAUACCUGGUUUGCAGGCAUUAGUAGGUGUAAAUUUUAUAUUAGUCCUGGUAUAAGUCUCACUAUUCCUGUACUAAAUGCCACCAGUUGGCAAACUGGCACUGCAUUCUUUGCCCUUUCCCCACAAGCCACCCUACGGGACCUACAAGGUAACAAUGGAAAGGCUAGUUAUGGUGAAGCAUUCUGGAUUUGUGGUAAUAGUGCCUACAAAUGGCUUCCUCAAGCUUGGCAUGGUAGCUGUUAUAAAGGCUAUCUCGCUCCUCCCCUCCGUGUUCUACCCCAGGCUCCCUCAGGUCGCCCUAGGUACUAUCGAUCCUUGAGAGCUACCAUUGAACCCAUCGGAGAAGGAGACAGGUUUGGAAUGAUAUUCCUCCCUACUUAUGGGGUGGGACGGCUAGCCCAACUCUACAGAAGACUUUCUAAAUUUCUCACUCAGUUUGCCAAUGAUACCCUAGCCAUAGAAAAAGGCAUAAGCUCUGAGCUGUACCAGCUUCGAUUGCUGUCUCUACAAAACUGCCAGGCCCUAGAUUAUGUGUUAGCCUCACGGGGCAGGGUCUGUGCCCUUACUGGAGAAGAAUGUUGUACCUAUGUCCCAGAGUUUUCACAGGAUAUUAACAAGCACAUCUUGUCAGUCGAACAGGCCNNNNNNNNNNNNNNNNNNNNN
rnacentral:lncRNA from 1 species